CAGUCGCCGCGGUAAUACAGAAGAUGCAAGCGUUAUCCGGAAUUAUUGGGCGUAAAGGGCUCGCAGGCGGUUUCUUAAGUCUGAUGUGAAAGCCCCCGGCUCAACCGGGGAGGGUCAUUGGAAACUGGGAAACUUGAGUGCAGAAGAGGAGAGUGGAAUUCCACGUGUAGCGGUGAAAUGCGUAGAGAUGUGGAGGAACACCAGUGGCGAAGGCGACUCUCUGGUCUGUAACUGACGCUGAGGAGCGAAAGCGUGGGGAGCGAACAGGAUUAGAUACCCGCGUAGUCCCUGUCUCUUAUAU
rnacentral:rRNA from 1 species